rnacentral:rRNA from 1 species
CGGGACGGGUGAGUAAUGUCUAGGGAAACUGCCUGAGGGAGGGGGAUAACUACUGGAAACGGUAGCUAAUACCGCAUAACGUCGCAAGACCAAAGAGGGGACCUUCGGGCCUCUUGCCAUCGGAUGUGCCCAGAUGGGAUUAGCUAGUAGGUGGGGUAACGGCUCACCUAGGCGACGAUCCCUAGCUGGUCUGAGAGGAUGACCAGCCACACUGGGACUGAGACACGGUCCAG